AUUGUAUUCAAUAAAACGGCUAUUGUUACAGAAUGAAGAUGAUGUUGGCAUCUUUGAAGACAGAGGCCAGGAAGCUUUUAGAAAUGGGGAUUCACCUAUCAAUAGCAAGGACAUUGGAAUAAUAGUUUCAAAGAAUGAAGUGGUCAGCGCACCCCAAAAAGGCAUGCUGGGGGGCGUGUGGUUGGAAGGUUACAGUGGCACAAUGAUGGAGCCCGAAUGCUGGGAGAAGAGAGUGAUAUUGACCAACUCAACUAAUUUCAUGCACUAUCACCGUAUGGUAUUAGCCACUGGAAAACUAAGUAAAGCCUGAAAAUGUCCAUCUCAGUCUAGUGCUCAUAUCUACAUGGAAACUCAUUUAUACAUCACAGGCACGGUAAUCCCUUUCUCAGUUUCUCAACUGCACCCACUUCCUUGGAAUUCUCAAACCUGCUGGUUGGCUUAGUCGUUUAUCAUACAAUAAGGGUUACAACAUACCAGGGGCCCAGGACCACAGUCAACGCAUCAAUUCCUGCAAGUAUGCACAGAUGCCAAUCCAAGUCCCAGGUGCUUACAAACUAAGGAAGCAAAGAGGAGGAAGCAACUGUGCUGAUCUAAGGGACCCCUGGGCCAAAGAAGGACUUGUUGGAGGUAGAAAGAUGCAUUGGAGGUGGAAAGAAGGAACCCAGAGUGAUGGAGCUAUCUUUACCACUGAGUUAUAGUGCCAGGAAGGAGUGAGGAAAGAGUUAAAUUUUGAGUGACACACCUGGUCCUCUUGAAUGAAUGAACAGUUAAAUCAAUAUUCAAAGCCCUAAGCCACUGUUUCUUUUUUAAAAGUUAUAAUGAUAUGAAAAAGUGUUCUACUACUCUUGCUGAGGUAAUCUGGAAUCUGUGUUAUUUCAUUUAUGUGAACUAUGCAGGGACUCAAAUGGGGAGUAUUCCUUACAGAUGAUAAAAGAAGAGAACCUAAUUACGAAGUUAUUGGAGAAUCCUUCUGAAAGAGGGAUUUAGGUGUUUUAACAAGCACUGAAAUUAAUUCCAAAGACAGCUUAUGAGGGAAUCUUUUGGUGUUUUCUCCACGAAUUUCCUUUUGGAAAAAAAAAAUCAGCUCCUCAAUUUCCUCAGACCCUGGUUGUCCACAGGCAUUUGCUGCUCAGGAGCUGCCUCAGUACAAACAGCUCUGACUCCAUGGACUGCUAGCUGUUCUUGGGAGAGAUACUGCUAUUUGUCAAAUGUAACAUUCGAACAAAGCUUGAGGACAGGGGAUUAUAAUCAGAUAUCUUUACUCAAUAUUUUCACGUGACUAAAAUUAGAAAACACAACACAUUUCAAAGGAUUUUACAGAGGGACUUUAAGUUCAUCAAGCAAAGUAACUUUGGAUAACUUUGGCCUUUGUUUCCACAUCAUUUUGUUCCCAUCUUUGUUAUGUACCUCCUACUGCGCUGAAAUUGACUAUGAUCAUGUCUUCAUCCCUUCACUAAAUUGAAUAGAGGGCAGUAA
ensembl:lncRNA novel transcript, antisense to ARHGAP28